rnacentral:ncRNA from 1 species
AAUCAUAAUCUCCUGUUAUUGUAACUGAAUCAAUUAAAUUUUGAUGCACUUAGCACAAAUCAACAUUAUGCAAGACUACCUGCCAUAGUUAAAGAUCUAAGCGAUAAAUAGUGUGCCAGCUAUCGCGGCUAUACAUUAGCUUAAAGUUAACUUCUAUUAACUGUUUAGAUUGUUACCCUACCAUUAAAAUCCUAAUAGUGAAAAGUAUAUAUUCUACACAACAAUACAUCUAAACUACCAAAAGUUAAACAAGAAACAAGGAUUAGAUACCCUUCUAUCCUAGACCUAAACUAAUCAAGAAGUAAUAUCAAAUAAAAACUUAAUCAGAAUGGCAGUAAGAAAUCCACCGGAGAAGGCUGUACCAUAAUCGACAAUCCUCGCUAAUUACCCCCUAACCUAACAUUUUAUAUAUCGCCAUUGAAAUCUUACUUAAGGUAGAAUUAAUAUAAGAUUUAAACUCAGUCAACAGGUCAAGAUAUAAAUCAUGGUUAGGUGAGAUAUUGCCUGCAAAUAUCAACAAUCAAUUAAACCAACCAUUAUCCACAGUUUAAACUAGGAUCCGACUGUAACCAUGUCUACUUAUAACAUUAUGACCUGCCAAAUUCCUUAUGCACAUAUUGCCCGUCAUCCUCAUAAGGAGGCAAGUCGUAACAAAGUAGAUCUUCUGGAAGGAGGAC